UGCGAUUCAUCUCUACUGCGCCUCCUAGGCUUCCGUAGUCCCGUUUUUCCUUCACAGUAGUGUUACACUGUUGAAGACCCUGUGUGUAGGGAGCUGAUGUGCAGAGACCAGAAGGCAAUGUCUGUGUUUUAUUGUCUUCUGCAGGAGCAAAUAAAUGCUGAAAAGAUCAGUACCUGAGUCGACUACUUCCAUGCCCUAAACACAUCUGUUACACAUACAUACACACAGCCAAUAUAGAUUUGCAUUCGCUAUAAGAUACAUAUUUCAGUCUGAAAAAGACAAAGUUCAUCUUCAAUAUGUUAAAGAAGAAUAAUUCUACAUACAUCAUCUGCUGAUUCCUUAUGAGCCUGACCCCUGCCUGAGUUCUUUGGGCCUAAAAUGUCUAAAUGUAAGAUUCUAGGCUGAUUGUGAUUGCUGAUAGCCAAAAAGGACCCACCAUUGAUGCCUGAGGAUCACCACAAUGUGCCUUGACCACACUAACAGAAUGCAUAAUAUAAUAUGUAGUCAUGCAGAGGCAAGGAAUGACUACCAAAGACAUUAUCUUGAAAGCAAAGAGGAUAACCAGAGAUUAGAAUGGCAUUUUAUUAUAAACGCUGCAUCUACGAACACAGACAGUUAAAUGUCAGCUUGAUUUGAGAGUCGGUGCUGUGCUGUGAAUCGAGGCCAUCAAGAAAAAACUGAAGAUAUACUGUUUGGGUAAAGGGCAACACUUUCUCCACAGACCGUUAUAAGUGACUCAAAACGAGUAUUAAUUAGAAUGUCAAAGAAUCAAGAGUCGGCAUUUGCAUGACAACUGAGCAAACUCAUUGAUGAGGAUGAGGAUGAGGAUGAAGGCUCUGCAGCAACAUAGCGAGAGGUGCUUGAGUUGGAGCUGUUAAAUAGUGUCUUGCGGUCUUUUACUGUUUAAGGCAAAACAAUAGCAAAUAUUCCAGCAUGCCCGAUACUGGGUAUUUUGUUAGCAAAACACACAUUUAAAUAUGUUGAAUAUUAAUAAACAUUGAAUAAAGAUGCGACCCCGCUCUGUUUAGCAGCGGGGACGCGGCUCCCGGGCUCCAAGGCUCUGAGUCGCUCAUGUGGUCUGGACGCUUGAUGAAAUGGAGUCAUAACGGAACUAUGUGUGUUCAUGAGUCCUCCUCCUCAGAUGUUACGUUUUCACAUUAGCGUACCUCUAGUCUGACGGAAGUCCGUUUUUUUUAUUGUGAGUCAUUGCAACUACAAGAGGUCCUUGAGCUUCGAGUCGGAAAAAAAUUAAGCUAGAUAAUGUCAGGCAGAUGCAGAGACAAUAGAAUGGAUUACAUAAGACCAUUUUGUUGAUUCAUACCCCGCAGACACAUCUAUCUCGACAUCGCAAACCCUUUAAAGGUUAACGUCUUGCAUCACUAAGUAAUUAAAGCACGGAGCUUGAAAACGAUUGAAUUAGAUGCACAAGAUUCAUUUUACAAACAUUUCUAAACAUCAGUGUCAGAUUAUCUUUAGCUUAAAAAGCAUAUUCCUUACCACAAUUUCUAAAUUGCAAUGCGUUAUAAGUAUGAUUGUAAUAAUAAGUUAUAGACAGUCAUAUUAGAGUUUUCUGACAUUUAGUUGUGGUGAGCCGGAUCCCUUUGAUGGUAACAGGAUAGCUGCUUCCUACUGAAUGAGUCAUGGAAAAUGCCAGAAGAAAUUCAACUCUUUUGACCAUUUACUGAUGGGGCUUCGCCAGGGUUCAGCUCCUUCUACAAUGAAGAUUCAGAUUUUAAAUGUCAUUGCCAGCGUGAAGCAGCAAAGCGGUCGAAGUGGGUCAAGAAGCAUUGUGUUCUCAUCGUCUGCAGUGAAGGCAGAGCAAUAGCGAAGGCUGGCCAGAAGCAUGUCGUGCACAUGACAGUGACUUUCUCGCUCUCUCCAAACAACUAAGAUACAGGCCCAUCUACUCAACCCCUGACCCUCCUUUGGCACUUGUUUUCUUACACACCAGCGUGUCAGAACAAAACUGUUUCUGAAGUUAUCGGGCCGCGACACACAAUGCGUAUAAUUGAAUUUUUCAAAUGGCUGGCGCCUCUUGCAAUGUUCUCAAAAGAAGACAACUGCUGAACUACGUCCCCAAAGGAAAAUGGUCUUCCAUAUUGAGAGAUAGAAAAACACCACAAUUAGAAUUAGAAAGUGCAGUUAAUAUCCAUUUGCUUGACUGUGCAGUGCCCUUGAAUAACAUACACCGGUGACCUGUUGAUUGAAGAUUACUAUUAUUUCAAUCAGCGUCUGACUUUGAAAAGUUUGCUGCAGGUCCUAACAGUGUGCUCAUAACUGAAAAUGUUGGAUUUCAGAAUCCUAUGGCCUAUAUAUGAAUACCUGAUUUGGGUUAUUUGCAUAUAAAACCCUUUCUGCUGCAGAGAGGGGAUUCUCAUCUACAAAGUGCUGUCAAACACCUAAAACAUUCGGGGGCUUAAAUUAUUCAAUUAUAAUGAAAAGAGAAUCUAGAACAUUAGGUUAUUCAUCAUUUAGCCUAAUAACAAUUUUAACAUAAACUGCAAUUUUCAUCAAAUGAAAGAAGAGUGGAGUCUCGUGAGGUUGAUCAGUAUAAGCGUGAGAUCCACAACCCGUUCUAGUGAUGAGGUGCUGAAGAAAAUGGAGGCACACAAUGGGAUCAAUAUCCAUUUCAUGCUUCUGAGUUACCAUUGGCACUGAACAAUUUAUUGAUGCAACAACUCCAUUUCGACCUUUUCUGUGUAUAUACACGUUGAUAUUUAGGGGAAUUUGGUCAUUUGGAAGCUGAUUAUGUCCUUGAGAUUCAUUUUUGGACAUAAUAGGGAUUUGAUCACGAGUGCGGGCACCCGAUGUUUUCUGGGACAAUAAGAGCCCAUUGUUUCAGUAUCUCAUCGCAGAGCUACAGUGUAGCACACUUUGAAACGUUUUGUAUAAUUAUAUAACAAUGAAUUAUAGAAAACUGCUUUGCAUAUGAUUUUUAAAUAUGCAUCAAGAGUGACUUAACACCGAAAUAAAACACUGAAAUAAUCACUGCAUUCUCUUCACCUGAGGGAUGUGUCACAGACUGCUGAAUGAUGAACAUGUAAUACCUGCAUUCCUUGCAAAAACAAAAACAAACCCUGUUGUAUAAUUAAUACAGGUGCAAUGCAUGAAGGAGAAUAAAAGUGGCCCCUAAUGCUGCUUCAAUGUGGGUUUUUGGGACACUGGAGCAAGCUCAAAAACACUAUAUUACUUUAAAAAGAUACGGUGAAUGUUUUAGCAGCAAUUCAAACAUCCUGCAGAAAUGGAUGAAAAUAAGAAUUCAUCUGAGACUUUCUUGGAUUUAGUAAUGUCAGGUCAAUAUGCACUCAUCUUCUUUUAGAUUUAUUUAGGUCUCCACCAACUCCUCAUGGAAAUAUCCGGCCCUUUGGCCACUAAGUGCUCUGUGUACUGGCAUCAGCUGCUGGGCAGGUAGUAUUGCAGAGUGGGGCUUCAGAGAUUAUUUGCUCAAGGCAGCUGCGUUCAGCUGCUGGAAACAAGCGACUGAAUUAAAAUAAUAAAGUUAAAGGCUAUAAAACUACAACAAUGAGCAUUAAGCAGGACUGGAAAGAGUUCCAAACAAUUGGUCACCUAUGGACACUCAUAACACACAUAACACUCAGGUAUUAAAAAGGUAAAUAGUAUAUCUGCAGUUAUAAAAGUGGAAAUCCUUAUGUUCAUUUGAAAUAGAAAAAUGCUGCAUACGGCACAAUUCCUUGGUUUUCACUCAACCAAUCAAAGGUUUGAACACACCUUCUCAUUCAAUUGAACAAGAAAGUGUCUCCAAACCUUUGAUUGGUUGAGUGAAAACCAAGAUAUUGUGCCGUAUGCAGCGUUUUUCUAAAUGUCACCACACCCUGCCGGUGUGUAAUCCUACAAAUAUUGAAGUAUUGCAAUACUUUCAUCUGUGGACUCAAUCCCCAUUGUGGAUCCUCCCUUGGAAAAGGAUAAUGACUUACAAAACAUUUGUUUCGAUAAAAUAAAUACAACUACUUUAUUUUGAGGAGAAGCCUACAAAAUAGAUUGUAUCCAACAUCAGCUUGCAUGCAUACUUGCAAGUGACUAUCGGAGAGGCUGAGUAGGGGGAGAGUAUCCUGCACACGCGCUUCCUUCAAUAAAGUCAAGGAUCCAGGGACUGUGAUUUGCUGUUUAUUGUUGGAAACAGACAUAACGUGCUGGUUGACCAAAAAAGGGUCUAACAGAAUUUGUGGCUUGGAUAUUCUUGGAUACAAGUGUGACAGCAUCAGCAACAGAACAUGUGCAAACCAACAGAUUGGUGAUCUUUCUUCAGGUUAAUUGUUACACAGUUGCUACUCCCUGCAACUCUGGCUCAAUGCUGUCCUUCAACCUGUUGCCCGAGCUAUCCAGUAAUGUAAUAAAUCCAUCAAUACUUUAUGUCCAAGGAUUUUACGGGACAACCGCCGACACGUGGAGCGGGUGUUAAAGGGUUAAAGACAUGGACAGCGGGACUAUUCAUACUCAAGGGAUUUGUUGUUUUUGUUCUGUCCACUCUCCUGUUUGUUUUUUCAAUACCAAUGAAUUUGAUUGAAAGUGCACUUUGCAAAAUGAGACAAAAUGUUCUUCUUGGUUUUAUGAACCAUUUUCCAAUCUCAUUAGAAUUAGCUCAGACUCUGUCAAAGGCUGUUAUUCUUUCAAACAUAUUGAAGAUAUUCUACACAUCGAUGUCAGCAGCCCAUUCUUGACACAUGACUAAACAUUCCCAUCUUGCAGUGACAGAGUAGCCGACCUCCUUGUUGACCUCUUAAUAAAUGGGUUGUGUUCAUGCCCCGUUGCGGUCGGGGGGUCUGCAUUAAACCGAGGAAACUGCUCAGGGGCUCAAUAUUUAAAGGCCAUCAGAAGUGCUUUCAAGGUUUGCGAUCCGGCCAGGCUGUUCACAUUUCACCGUGUGACACUGGCCUUGCCGAGGGGUGAUGGGAAGGAUGCAGCCACCGUGACGGUGAGGGAUGAAGGACACAACUCGGUGCUAUAAUAUCAGGGUCAGUAUCACCGAGACAACCACAGGUUUCGCCAGCAUUUCACUUUCUGUCCGGAGUUUAAUUGCACACGUUUUGUAAUAUUUACCACACAACUGCAGCACACUGCAUACGAUGUCACGGUGAUCACCACGUCACGUGACUCAGUAUAUGAGGCUUGACCUCCAGCAACAAGCAAGUGCUCGGACUCUAUUAUUUUGACCUCUAACUUCUUGUCCACACUGCAACAAAAAAAAAACCAUUUACUUUUAUUUGGCAGUAAUUAGAUCAGUUUUUCACUAGAAUGAGUAUUAGAAUAUUGUAGACCACUAAAGUAUGUUUUAUUGUUUGUAUGCAACAACCAAAUAAUAAUCAGAAUUAUUGAUGUACAUGUACAUAAACAUAUUAUAUACAUACGAAUUACACAACUGGGUCAAAAUAUGUUUUCCAUAUUAAUGAAUCAGAUUUCAUGCCAAGAAAUUAAAAUAUAGUGUUAUUAGGGGUGUAACGAUUAAUUCGAAUCGCGAUUCAUGGUUAAUUUAGAACGAUUCGAUUCGAUUCAGUGACUUGAGGCAGGCAAAGUUUCUGAGAUCCCUGUUGUUUCUUGUAAGGAAAUCAGGUUUAAAUUAAUUAUGGAUACUAUAAACAAGCAAACAACAAUUAAUGGCAAAUGUAUGAACCUUUUAUUUGAAUCAAGUGCCAUUUUCAAUGAAA
ensembl:lncRNA